GGUGUGACAGCUAUGUUACCUGUUGAUCUGCAUUCUGUGCACGUUGCUAUUAAAAGAGUCUUGAGAACUACAGAAGUGUGACAUGGGAACCCUACCUCAUCACUGCUGGAGGAUGAAGAUGAGGAUGAUGAAGAUGAAGAUGAGUUGCCUGAUCCUUCACCUUCCUUGUGCUCCUUAUGCUCUUUAUGCUCCUUAUGUCCCUUUGUUUUAUUCUUGUCCUUCUUGCCGUCUUUGUCCUUUGACUCGUGCUUUUUGUCAGACUCGUGCCUUUUUGUCAGACUUGUCCUUUUUGUCAGACUUGUCCUUUUUGUCAGACUUGUCCUUUUUGUCAGACUUGUGCUUUUUGUCAGGCUUGUGCUUUUUGUCAGGCUUGUGCUUUUUGUCAGACUUCUCAGUGCAGUCUCCCUAAAAAUGGCAAAAGUUGACUUUGAAUAAAUCUUUGUGUUGUUAAGGAUUGUGCUAUAUUCCAGUAA
rnacentral:lncRNA from 1 species